CCUACCGCGAUCAUUUGAAGACAAAAAUAAGCCCUCAUUGACAUUCAUGAGCAUGAAGAUAUUCAUAAUCCGGCCUUUUCAUUGGCUAAGAGCGUCAUUAAUACGCGAUUUCCCCGAUUCUUUGUCAUCGAUACUAGUGGUAUCGUGUUACAGAAUUAAUUAUUCAUUUGACCUCAUUACGUCAUCUAAUUUAUUCAUUAUGAAACUUUUCUUUCCACACAAAAAUGGACCUACGAACACUCCGGUUGAGUUUGAAGAACAAGAAAAACAGUAGAGGUCUACCCGGUACCUAUGAUCAUAAGUGCAUGUAUCAUUUUGCAGAUUCUCAUCCAGGAUGAUGCAGCUCUACAAUUUCCAUGGAGGUGAUUGAUGAUGAUAAACAAUCGGUGAAGAAGGCCUAAUAGAACAGUGAU